rnacentral:rRNA from 1 species
GAUUUCUGGUAUGGCGCGCUUGGCCCGCCUCGUUACGAGGUUGUGUGCCGACGUGCGCCUGCCAUCCUUCUAGGUGCCGGUUCUGCCCUUCACUGGGUGGGAAUCGGAAACUAGAUCAUUUACUUUGAAAAAAUUAGAGUGUUUAAAGCAGGCUUGUGCUGUGAAUACAUUAGCAUGGAAUAAUAAUUUAGGACUUUGGUCUUAUUUUGUUGGUUUCUAGGACUAAAGUAAUGAUUGAUAGGGAUAGUUGGGGGUGCUAGUAUUCAGCGGCCAGAGGUGAAAUUCUUGGAUUCGCUGAAGACUAACUUAUGCGAAAGCAUU